UACGGAGGGGGCUAGCGUUGUUCGGAAUUACUGGGCGUAAAGGGCGCGUAGGCGGUCUGUUAAGUUCGGUGUGAAAGCCCCCGGCUCACCUGGGGAACUGCGCCGGAAACCGACAGACUCGAGUACCGGAGAGGGAGGGUGGAAUUCCUGGUGUAGCGGUGAAAUGCGUAGAUAUCAGGAGGAACACCGGUGGCGAAGGCGGCCCUCUGGACGGAUACUGACGCUCAUGCACGAAAGCUGGGGAGCAAACAGG
rnacentral:rRNA from 1 species